rnacentral:rRNA from 1 species
CGCAAGCCUGACGGAGCAACGCCGCGUGAGGGAUGAAGGCCUCUGGGCUGUAAACCUCUUUUAUCAAGGAAGAAGAUCUGACGGUACUUGAUGAAUAAGCCACGGCUAAUUCCGUGCCAGCAGCCGCGGUAAUACGGGAGUGGCAAGCGUUAUCCGGAAUUAUUGGGCGUAAAGCGUCCGCAGGCGGUCUUGAAAGUCUGUUGUUAAAGCGUGGAGCUCAACUCCAUUUCAGCAAUGGAAACUAGAAGACUAGAGUGUGGUAGGGGCAGAGGGAAUUCCCGGUGUAGCGGUGAAAUGCGUAGAUAUCGGGAAGAACACCAGUGGCGAAGGCGCUCUGCUGGGCCAUAACUGACGCUCAUGGACGAAAGCCAGGGGAGCG